rnacentral:rRNA from 1 species
GAUGAACGCUGGCGGCGUGCCUAAUACAUGCAAGUCGAGCGAACAGACGAGGAGCUUGCUCCUUUGACGUUAGCGGCGGACGGGUGAGUAACACGUAGGUAACCUACCUAUAAGACUGGGAUAACUUCGGGAAACCGGAGCUAAUACCGGAUAAUAUUUCGAACCGCAUGGUUCGAUAGUGAAAGAUGGCUUUGCUAUCACUUAUAGAUGGACCUGCGCCGUAUUAGCUAGUUGGUAAGGUAACGGCUUACCAAGGCAACGAUACGUAGCCGACCUGAGAGCGUGAUCGGCCACACUGGAACUGAGACACGGUCCAGACUCCUACGGGAGGCAGCAGUAGGGAAUCUUACGCAAUGGGCGAAAGCCUGACGGAGCAACGCCGCGUGAGUGAUGAAGGUCUUCGGAUCGUAAAACUCUGUUAUUAGGGAAGAACAAACGUGUAAGUAACUGUGCACGUCUUGACGGUACCUAAUCAGAAAGCCACGGCUAACUACGUG